AUGUGUCUACGAAAGAAUGGUCUCAUGAAUCUAACUUCAUUAGAUUACAUUAUUCCAAUCACAUAUUCCUUGGACUUUAUCGUUUAAGCAUAUAACAUUUAUAUGAGACGGCUCAAACAAUAAUCUUUGCCCUUUAUAUUAAACUAGAUUAGUUUAACAUGUAAAAUGUCCGUAAAGUAUCAUCAUAUGAUUGGCUUUAGGGCACAUUUCCAACAUCGAUGACUCCUUUUUGGGCUAGUUUCAUGAUGAGAUCUUUCAGCACGAUUCAUUUUUCGACCAAAUGAAUAAUGACGCGAUGAUAUUUGCAAUAUCUUGGGUUAUUUAGUUAAUUCAUUUCUUCCGACCACUUGCACUCGAGCAACUCGAUCACUUUCUUGGCAAGCAAAUCUUUCAACAUGGCAGUCAUAUCGGUGUCGGGGAAUAGAUAAGUCUUCUUCUCAAGCUCCUUCAAACUGUGCUUGUACCUCUCCUGAUCAUGAAAAAGUUCGUUCCGCUUCACCUCCUUCUUUUUAUCUCUUGUGGAGAUUCUGAUGGGAGUCAUGUUAACCACCAUUGCUUCCUUGGUAGGCUCCUUCACAGAUUUAUCCAUUUUAUGCCCAAAGAAUUUGUCUUUCUUAUAAUCGGUGAUCUAUUCUUUCUUUCUAUGAUGGGCGAUGCUCAACUCAAUGUCAUGGCUAACUCAUCGAAGGUUCGCGGUUUGAUGUCUUGAAGAAUGUAAUGUAAUCCCCAAUGAAUGCCUUGUACGCACAUUUCGAUUGAGGAGAUCUCCGAGAGUCUGUCUUUGCAAUCAAGACUUAGAGUGCGCCAUCGGUUGAUGUAGUCAACCACUGGCUCAUCCUUCCACUGCUUUGUAUUUGUAAGCUCUAUCAUGCUGAUGGUGCGACGGGUGUUGUAAAAGCGGUUCAAGAAUUCUCGCUCCAUAUGCUCCCAAUUGUUUAUGGACUCAGGCUCUAGGUCCAUGUACCAAUCGAAC
rnacentral:lncRNA from 1 species